UACAGAGGGUGCAAGCGUUGUUCGGAAUUAUUGGGCGUAAAGGGUGCGUAGGCGGUCGCGCAAGUCGGAUGUGAAAUCUUAGGGCUCAACCCUGAAACUGCAUUCGAUACUGCGUGGCUUGAGUACUGGAGGGGAGACUGGAAUUUACGGUGUAGCAGUGAAAUGCGUAGAUAUCGUAAGGAAGACCAGUGGCGAAGGCGAGUCUCUGGACAGUUACUGACGCUGAGGCACGAAGGCCAGGGGAGCAAACGGG
rnacentral:rRNA from 1 species